rnacentral:rRNA from 1 species
UAGCUCAAAUUUGAAAUCUGGCACUUUCAGUGUCCGAGUUGUAAUUUGAAGAAGGUAUCUUUGGGUCUAGCUCUUGUCUAUGUUUCUUGGAACAGAACGUCACAGAGGGUGAGAAUCCCGUGCGAUGAGAUGUCUAGAUCUAUGUAAAGUUCCUUCGAAGAGUCGAGUUGUUUGGGAAUGCAGCUCUAAGUGGGUGGUAAAUUCCAUCUAAAGCUAAAUAUUGGCGAGAGACCGAUAGCGAACAAGUACAGUGAUGGAAAGAUGAAAAGAACUUUGAAAAGAGAGUGAAAAAGUACGUGAAAUUGUUGAAAGGGAAGGGCUUGAGAUCAGACUUGGUAUUUUGUAUGUUACUCUCUCGGGGGUGGCCUCUACAGUUUACCGGGCCAGCAUCAGUUUGAGCGGUAGGAGAAUUGCGUAGGAAUGUGGCUCGGCCUCGGUCGAGUGUUAUAGCCUUCGUCGAUACUGCCAGCUUAGACUGAGGACUGCGGCUUCGGCCUAGGAUGUUGGCAUAAUGAUCUUAAGUCGCCCGUCU